rnacentral:rRNA from 1 species
AACGAACGCUGGCGGCAGGCCUAACACAUGCAAGUCGAACGCCCCGCAAGGGGCGUGGCAGACGGGUGAGUAACACGUGGGAACCUUCCCUAUAGUACGGAAUAGCCCAGGGAAACUUGGAGUAAUACCGUAUACGCCCGAAAGGGGAAAGAAUUUCGCUAUAGGAUGGGCCCGCGUAGGAUUAGCUAGUUGGUGAGGUAAUGGCUCACCAAGGCGACGAUCCUUAGCUGGUUUGAGAGAACGACCAGCCACACUGGGACUGAGACACGGCCCAGACUCCUACGGGAGGCAGCAGUGGGGAAUAUUGGACAAUGGGCGCAAGCCUGAUCCAGCCAUGCCGCGUGAGUGAUGAAGGCCUUAGGGUUGUAAAGCUCUUUUGGCGGGGACGAUAAUGACGGUACCCGCAGAAUAAGUCCCGGCUAACUUCGUG